rnacentral:rRNA from 1 species
CGCUAGCGGCGUGCCUAAUACAUGCAAGUCGUGGGAGAAAGUCACCUUCGGGUGACGAGUAAACCGGCGAACGGGUGAGUAACACGUAAGCAACUUACCUUCAAGUUCGGGAUAACUCGGCUAAAGCUGGGCUAAUACCGGAUGUGGACAUAUGUCCUCAUGAAUAUAUGUCUAAAGGCAACCUCUACCUGUAAGUUGUCGCUUGAAGAUAGGCUUGCGGCCCAUUAGUUAGUUGGUGAGGUAACGGCUCACCAAGGCAACGAUGGGUAGCCGGCCUGAGAGGGUGAUCGGCCACAUUGGGACUGAGAUACGGCCCAGACUCCUACGGGAGGCAGCAGUAGGGAAUAUUGCGCAAUGGGCGAAAGCCUGACGCAGCAACGCCGCGUGAGGGAUGACUGCCUUCGGGUUGUAAACCUCUGUUGAGUGGGAAGAAACUUUGUGCCGUUAAUAGCGGUAUGAACUGACGGUACCGCUCGAGGAAGCCCCGGCGAACUACGUGCCAGCAGCCGCGGUAAUACGUAGGGGGCGAGCGUUGUUCGGAAUUACUGGGCGUAAAGAGAGCGUAGGCGGGAGAGUAAGUUAGGAGUGAAAUGCAUGGGCUUAACCCAUGGUCCGCUCUUAAUACUGCUUUCCUUGAGUGUAGGAGGGGAAAGCGGAAUUCCGGGUGUAGCGGUGGAAUGCGUAGAUAUCCGGAAGAAUAUCAAUGGCGAAGGCUGCUUUCUGGCCUAUUACUGACGCUGAGGCUCUAAAGCUAGGGGAGCGAACAGGAUUAGAUACCCUGGUAGUCCUAGCCGUAAACGUUGGGCACUAGAUGUGGGAGGGUGUCCCUUCAGUGUCGUAGCUAACGCGAUAAGUGCCCCGCCUGGGGAGUACGCCCGCAAGGGUGAAACUCAAAGGAAUUGACGGGGGGCCGGCACAAGCGGUGGAGCAUGUGCUUUAAUUCGAUGAUACGCGAGGAACCUUACCUGGGUUGUACAUGGGAGUGAAAGCCGCCAGAGAUGGUGGCCCUUCUCUUCGGAGAACGCUUCCACACAGUUGCUGCAUGGUUGUCGUCAGCUCGUGUCGUGAGAUGUUG